AGCAGUGUGGCUCAGUGGAAAGAGCACAGGCUUGGGACUGAGGUCAUGGGUUCGAAUCCCGACUCUGCCA
rnacentral:tRNA from 1 species